rnacentral:rRNA from 1 species
GAUGAACGCUGGCGGCGUGCCUAAUACAUGCAAGUCGAGCGAACGGACGAGAAGCUUGCUUCUCUGAUGUUAGCGGCGGACGGGUGAGUAACACGUGGAUAACCUACCUAUAAGACUGGGAUAACUUCGGGAAACCGGAGCUAAUACCGGAUAAUAUUUUGAACCGCAUGGUUCAAAAGUGAAAGACGGUUUUGCUGUCACUUAUAGAUGGAUCCGCGCUGCAUUAGCUAGUUGGUAAGGUAACGGCUUACCAAGGCAACGAUGCGUAGCCGACCUGAGAGGGUGAUCGGCCACACUGGAACUGAGACACGGUCCAGACUCCUACGGGAGGCAGCAGUAGGGAAUCUUCCGCAAUGGGCGAAAGCCUGACGGAGCAACGCCGCGUGAGUGAUGAAGGUCUUCGGAUCGUAAAACUCUGUUAUUAGGGAAGAACAUAUGUGUAAGUAACUGUGCACAUCUUGACGGUACCUAAUCAGAAAGCCACGGCUAACUACGUG